UUGUUUCCGAAAAGAGAUGGGUUUAUUCCCCCGACAAGGACAGAACUUUCCCUUUAGGGUUAAAAAAAUAAUUAACAAUUAAAUUUAUAGUUUUUAAUUAUAUCUUUUC